rnacentral:rRNA from 1 species
UACGAAGGGGGCUAGCGUUGUUCGGAAUUACUGGGCGUAAAGCGUAUGCAGGCGGAUCGUUAAGUCGGGGGUGAAAUCCCGAGGCUCAAUCUCGGAACUGCCUUCGAUACUGGCGAUCUUGAGUCCGGGAGAGGUGAGUGGAACUCCGAGUGUAGAGGUGAAAUUCGUAGAUAUUCGGAAGAACACCAGUGGCGAAGGCGGCUCACUGGCCCGGUACUGACGCUGAGAUACGAAAGCGUGGGGAGCAAACAGG